rnacentral:rRNA from 1 species
UAAUACGUAGGGGGCAAGCGUUGUCCGGAAUUAUUGGGCGUAAAGCGCGCGCAGGCGGUGCGGAAAGUCUGAUGGUAAAGGCCGGGGCUCAACCCCGGUGUACAUUGGAAACUGUCGCGCUGGAGUGCAGGAGAGGGAAGCGGAAUUCCACGUGUAGCGGUGAAAUGCGUAGAGAUGUGGAGGAACACCAGUGGCGAAGGCGGCUUCCUGGCCUGUAACUGACGCUGAGGCGCGAAAGCGUGGGGAGCAAACAGGAUUAGAUACCCUGGUAGUCCACGCCGUAAACGAUGAGUGCUAGGUGUUGGGGGUUUCGAUACCCUCGGUGCCGAAGUAAACACAGUAAGCACUCCGCCUGGGGAGUACGCUCGCAAGAGUGAAACUCAAAUGAAUUGACGG